CUGGCACAGAGCUGUCUUCCUGUAACCAGUUCUUGCACUUUAGAUGGGAGCACCUAUCCAUGCCUGUUGUGACAGGGUCAAGCCAGAUGACUACAGGAGCGUGAUAGAAGGCAGAUAUAUUAGCCCCAGAGUACGCGAGAUGUCUGAUUGCAGAAGUUGAUCAUCAGAGCUGGCACGGCGGCACCAGUGGCGGCUGCAUUCUCUUCCCAUUCUCGCUACUGCCUGGCAGCCUGGGCCUCCCGCCUGCCUCAUUUUGGCAGAAUUGAUACCUGAUUCUGCGAGACGGUCAUAAUGGAGACACCUUGCCGAUGUGGUUGUCAGGUAGCGAUAACAACGAUCCUCUGCCCUUCUCCAGAGUCUUCCGCGCUGAUGCUGUAUAUGUUCAAUGCAAGCUACAUCUUUGCCAAAACAGUUUCUUUCUUACAUGAAGCCAUCAGCAUCUCCAGCCUGUCAGCCUGGAUGACGCAGUCAUGGAAGGCACUGGGGAUUCCACUACAGGCACAAGUCUUGGAAAACUUGAAGUGCUAAUCACUAGGAAGUUAAUUUCAGCUGUAGAGUGGUGCUCACAGAUCCCAGCAUGUGGUGAGAAUUUGAUCCCGGAGAUACCGAACCUUGAUGGGUUUUCUGUGAAGGAUAAAUGUGCAG